GACGAACGCUGGCGGCGUGCUUAACACAUGCAAGUCGAACGGAAAGGCCCUGCUUUUGUGGGGUGCUCGAGUGGCGAACGGGUGAGUAACACGUGAGUAACCUGCCCUUGACUUUGGGAUAACUUCAGGAAACUGGGGCUAAUACCGGAUAGGAGCUCCUGCUGCAUGGUGGGGGUUGGAAAGUUUCGGCGGUUGGGGAUGGACGCGCGGCUUAUCAGCUUGUUGGUGGGGUAGUGGCUUACCAAGGCUUUGGCGGGUAGCCGGCCUGAGAGGGUGACCGGCCACAUUGGGACUGAGGUACGGCCCAGACUCCUACGGGAGGCAGCAGUGGGGAGUAUUGCACAAUGGGCGGAAGCCUGAUGCAGCAACGCCGCGUGCGGGAUGACGGCCUUCGGGUUGUAAACCGCUUUCGCCUGUGACGAAGCGUGAGUGACGGUAAUGGGUAAAGAAGCACCGGCUAACUACGUG
rnacentral:rRNA from 1 species